GCUACAGCAAAGUGCCUGGAAAUGUUUGCAGCUUGAAAGAAGAAGAGCUGUUUUACUUGGGAACUUAAACCUCUGCUGGAUGGAAUAUUCCCACUUUUUGGUCUAUCGGAUGGACAAGCUGAGCUUCUAAAUCUUUUCUACCUCCAUGUGUCUCAUCACUGUCACUGAUUAAUGUAAACAGCAAGAAGCUUAAUUUAUAGGCUCAACCCCAUCAUUGCCCCUGGGCCUGCAAGACCAGAACAAAACUUCAGACAAAUGCAAAUAUUUUGUUUCUGGAUUUUGACCCAUAAAUAAACACAACCCCAUGCGGUUAGAGAAUAGCAGUUCUCCCAUCUGGUGUUUGAUGUACUUGUCCUUCCCAUGGGAAAAGAAAUGACACACAGGAGUUCAGCAGACCUGAGGGAUAAGACACCUGAUUUCAUUAGAUGAGGGCCUGCUUCCUUAAAGUGACAGAAGAGGCCAGCACCUAUCUUUAAGAUCUGUUCAAAGGUGUGGAAGUGCCAUGUCAUCCUUAUGUAGGGACCAGAGCUCUAAGUGUCCCAGGCUGUGGCUGGAAGAGAAGUCUUGAAACAGCAGCUUAGCAGAGCUGAUUUGAGUCCAGUGAAAGACUCCACUAGACUGUUUUCAGAGAAAACCUGUCAUUGUAAGAUGCUGAUCAUAGCAAGCAGCCAUCUGAGCACCCCACGAUGGGAAGCUCUCACCUACCUAGUAUUCUGCUGAUGAUAUAGUUGGAGAUGCACUUCCAAGAACCACUGUGCCUUGGGGCAUUGGUUCUUGUUUUGGCCAUCUUGAAUGUACAUGACAAAAGAACUUAAUAUAAAGAUAAGAUGUUUGCUGAAAGGAAGAAAAAACAAAGAAAGAAGAAAAUAAAGAGUGAGCAAAGAGCAGAAGCCUUGAUCCAACCGCCACUCGGCACAAGUUCAUAUUACACUCCUCUGGAAUGAUAAUCACACCCUUCCUCAAGCCUGACACACCACUGAGAGGAGGAUUAUCUUUGCAUGGCUGCCUAGAUCCCUCUCACUGAUAAAGCUGCUCUAUCUGAGAAGUAUUUGGCAGAACUGCCGCCAUAUAUACAAACAGAGGAGCCGACUCUUCUAACCUCAGAGGCUUGGUAUGGGGAGUAGUCUGUAUCAGCUUUUGCGUCCUCCAGAUCACUUAUGCAACUUCUAGAACAAAACACACAGUUUCCUUGGGGAGCUUUGAGGUGGUUUUAUUAAUUGGUUUCCAAACCUUUUGAGGUAACAUUUUUAAGGUAACAAGCGUUUUUAACUCAAUUGCUUUCCCACCCACAACCACUUCUGAGUUCAGAGCUGUUUUCCAUCCCUUGGUGUGAUAAGAAGUCGCAAAAAAAUUGUUUUCUUCUUUUUUUCCAAAAUUAAAAGAUACAGCUUCUUCUACCCUCGUAUGAUCAACUGCACUGCUUACUCCCUCUCUCUAGACUUCUUACGAGUUAUCUGACAUAUCCUUUUUUAAAAUACAUUUUCUGUAUAACAUUCCCUCUCAUAUAACACAGGUAUGCUGUAUGCUGGAAGAGCCAAAGCCAUAAUUCAGUCUACAGGAGAAGGUCUUCCCCUCGAGGCAUUUCAUCCUGGGCUUAUAAUAACUGAACAAUUACAUCAAAGAGUACAGUUUCCGUGUGAUGACCCUGAUUUCAGCUGUUUAUUUGAAUGUAGUAGUUCUGUCUCCACCAGGAGUGGCCACAUUAUAUCUCAAGCAUCAUGGAAAUUAUGUGUGUCUACAUCUGCCUAGCUGGCCAGUCCAAGUUUGCACAUGACAAGCUUAGAAAGAAUUUCUUCAAGUAAUGUGCAGGGAUUUUGUCAUUUAAGACUAUGAAAGAUCUGAAGAAAUUAACCAAAAGGCAUACUUCAUUGGAACUACUCUGAUCUCUCAAAGAAAGAACUCUCUCUAUGGACAAGUAACAUAUAUAGACAGAUUUGCCAAAUGACGCUUUUCUUUCCAAGGACCCAUAAAUCUCAGAUUACUCUUGAGAGUAAUAAAUGUUGCAAUAAUGCUGUUCUUGAUUACAGGCAAGACUAUAACAGCUCUGACUGGUAGUGAUUCCAUAAUUAUGUUUGAUUACAGACAUGCUCCUACUGUCUGCAAAGUGGAUUAUUUGUUGCUUUGUAUCAGUCUCCUGGAUUCCACUGGAGACCAAGAGCACACUGUGCCAGCAUGCACAGCUCACUCAGCUGCCCUCCUCAGAGCUUUGUCACUAAAGCAUAGCAUUUAAUAGCAGGACUGUGAUAGAGGGGCAUGCAAAACCUUUUUGGAGCUGUAAUUAAAACACUAUAUAACUGCAUCAGUGUUGGCUACUUUCUAACAGGAUCCUGAAUCUCAGCAAUUCUCAAUGGCUCUUGAUUGUUAGUAAAGUUCUACUUCACAGUGCAGGGGCUAAAGUUACUCCUGCCUUUACUGUAUUACAAUUACAGCAAGAACCAAAAUGUCAAUGAGAAAUAAAGAAAAACAAUAUCUGGAACACUGCCCAUGCUUUCUACUACUCCAGAAUUAAAAAAAGGAAAAGCCCCAUUAAG